rnacentral:rRNA from 1 species
CGCAGCCGCGGUAAUUCCAGCUCCAAUAGCGUAUAUUAAAGUUGUUGCAGUUAAAAAGCUCGUAGUUGAAUUUCGGGAUCAAUAUGUUGGUCGUGCCUUGGUACGUACUGGCAUUAUCGAUUCCUACCUUCUGAAGAACCCCGAUGUCAUUAAUUUGGUGUCUUGGGGAAUCAGGACUGUUACUUUGAAAAAAUUAGAGUGUUUAAAGCAGGCUCGCGCUUGAAUACAUUAGCAUGGAAUAAUGAAAUAGGACGUUUGAUUCUAUUUUGUUGGUUUCUAGGAUCGACGUAAUGAUUAAUAGGGAUAGUUGGGGGCAUUAGUAUUCAAUUGUCAGAGGUGAAAUUCUUGGAUUUAUUGAAGACUAACUACUGCGAAAGCAUUUGCCAAGGAUGUUUUCAUUAAUCAAGAACGAAAGUUAGGGGAUCGAAGACGAUCAGAUACCGUCGUAGUCUUAAACC